rnacentral:rRNA from 1 species
GACGAACGAGGGAGGGGUGAUUAACACAUGCAAGUCGAACGGAAAGGCCCUGCUUUUGUGGGGUGCUCGAGUGGCGAACGGGUGAGUAACACGUGAGUAACCUGCCCUUGACUUUGGGAUAACUUCAGGAAACUGGGGCUAAUACCGGAUAGGAGCUCCUGCUGCAUGGUGGGGGUUGGAAAGUUUCGGCGGUUGGGGAUGGACUCGCGGCUUAUCAGCUUGUUGGUGGGGUAGUGGCUUACCAAGGCUUCGACGGGUAGCCGGCCUGAGAGGGUGACCGGCCACAUUGGGACUGAGAUACGGCCCAGACUCCUACGGGAGGCAGCAGUGGGGAAUAUUGCACAAUGGGCGGAAGCCUGAUGCAGCAACGCCGCGUGCGGGAUGACGGCCUUCGGGUUGUAAACCGCUUUCGCCUGUGACGAAGCGUGAGUGACGGUAAUGGGUAAAGAAGCACCGGCUAACUACGUG